AAGGAACGCUGGCGGCAUGCCUAACACAUGCAAGUCGAACGAGACCUUCGGGUCUAGUGGCGCACGGGUGCGUAACGCGUGGGAACCUGCCCUUAGGUUCGGAAUAACUCCCCGAAAGGGGUGCUAAUACCGGAUAAUGUCUUCGGACCAAAGAUUUAUCGCCUUUGGAUGGGCCCGCGUUGGAUUAGCUAGUUGGUAGGGUAAAAGCCUACCAAGGCGACGAUCCAUAGCUGGUCUGAGAGGAUGAUCAGCCACACUGGGACUGAGACACGGCCCAGACUCCUACGGGAGGCAGCAGUGGGGAAUAUUGGACAAUGGGCGAAAGCCUGAUCCGGCAAUGCCGCGUGAGUGAUGAAGGCCUUAGGGUUGUAAAGCUCUUUUACCCGGGAUGAUAAUGACAGUACCGGGAGAAUAAGCGCCGGCUAACUCCGUG
rnacentral:rRNA from 1 species